CUUUUAUUUUUUAUUUAUUAAAUACGGCCUGCCCACUGAAAUUAAAGGGCAAAAAGUAUAUUGACCGUGCUAAGGUAGCGUAAUCAUUAGUUUCUUAAUUAGGAAAGAGUAUGAAUGGUUUCAUUAGCUGGUAUUUUAUUGUUUGUAAAAAAUUUAAAGUUAAUUUUAGACGAUAAGACCCUUUAGAGGUUAAAAGACUAAAUUUGGGGGAGUUUAGGCUUGGUUUUAUUGGGGCAAUAGUAGAAUAAAUCAAACUUCUUACUUAAGUAACUUUAUUGUUUUAAAAAGUUACCUAAGGGUUAACAGCGUUAUAAUAUUGGAGAGUUCUUAUCGAUAAAAUUGUUUGCGACCUCGAUGUUGAAUUAAGAUUUUUUUGGGGGUAGAUUUUCAAAAAUAAGAGUCUGUUCGACUAUUUAAUUCUU
rnacentral:rRNA from 1 species